rnacentral:rRNA from 1 species
UGCGUAUGGGGCAAGCGUUAUCCGGGAUUACUGGGCGUAAAGGGCGCGAAGGCUGCGAUUCAAGUCAACUGUCAAAUUCCGGGGCUUAACCCCGGCCUGCAGUUGAAACUGAAUUGCUCGAGGCGCAGAGAGGCAGACAGAAUUUCCGGUGUAGCGGUGAAAUGCGUAGAUAUCAGGAAGAAUACCAGUGGCGAAGGCGGUCUGCUGGCUGCGAACUGACGCUCAAGCGCGAAAGCCAGGGGAGCAAACG